rnacentral:rRNA from 1 species
GACGAACGCUGGCGGCGUGCUUAACACAUGCAAGUCGAACGGUGAAGCGCCUUCCUUGUUGGGGGGUGGGGAUGAGUGGCGAACGGGUGAGUAACACGUGAGUAACCUUCCCCCUGCUUCUGGAUAACCGCAUGAAAGUGUGGCUAAUACGGGAUAUCCUGGUGCUGUCGCAUGAUGGGUCUGGGUAAGAUAUUGGGUCUGUGGGGGAUGGGCUCGCGGCCUAUCAGCUUGUUGGUGGGGUGAUGGCCUAGGAAGGCUGUGACGGGUGGACGGCCUGGGAGGGUAGACGGUCACACUGGGUCUGAGACCCCGCUGGGACUGCUACAGGGCGCAGACGUGUAUGGUAUUGAACAGUGGGGGAUAUCGUGCUGCGGCGGCGCGGCGUAUGCGAUGGCGCCCCUCGGGUUGUGACCCUCUUUCGCUAGUGAAGCAGGCCUGCCUGGUUUGUAGGUGGGUUGACGGUAGCUGGAUAAGAAGCGCCGGCUAACUACGUG